rnacentral:rRNA from 1 species
AGAGUUUGAUCCUGGCUCAGGACGAACGCUGGCGGCAUGCCUAACACAUGCAAGUCGAACGAGAAAGCUUCUUCGGAAGUGAUUAAAGUGGCGCACGGGUGAGUAACGCGUAGACAAUCUGCCCUUCAGUCCGGGACAACUUUCCGAAAGGGGAGCUAAUACCGGAUAACAAUGUUUAACAUAAGUUGAAUAUUUGAAAGCUCCGGCGCUGAUGGAUGAGUCUGCGUCCCAUUAGCUUGUUGGUGCGGUAGUGGCGCACCAAGGCCACGAUGGGUAGCGGGUUUGAGAGGACGAUCCGCCACACUGGAACUGAGACACGGUCCAGACUCCUACGGGAGGCAGCAGUGGGGAAUAUUGCACAAUGGAGGAAACUCUGAUGCAGCAAUGCCGCGUGAGUGAAGAAGGCCCUUGGGUCGUAAAGCUCUUUUAUGGGGGAAGAUGAUGACGGUACCCCAGGAAUAAGCACCGGCUAACUACGUGCCAGCAGCCGCGGUAAUACGUAGGGUGCGAGCGUUGUUCGGAAUUACUGGGCGUAAAGGGCGCGCAGGCGGAGGUGCAAGUCGGAGGUGAAAGCCCGGGGCUCAACCCCGGAGGGUCUUUCGAAACUGCAUCUCUAGAGAGGGUCAGGGGCCGGCAGAAUUCCUGGUGUAGAGGUGAAAUUCGUAGAUAUCAGGAGGAAUACCGGUGGCGAAAGCGGCCGGCUGGGGCCACUCUGACGCUGAGGCGCGAAAGCGUGGGGAGCAAACAGGAUUAGAUACCCUGGUAGUCCACGCCGUAAACGAUGAGCACUGGAUGUCCGGAGGGUUCGACCCUUC